UACGUAGGGUGCAAGCGUUGUCCGGAAUUAUUGGGCGUAAAGAGCUCGUAGGCGGUUUGUCGCGUCUGCUGUGAAAACCCGAGGCUCAACCUCGGGCCUGCAGUGGGUACGGGCAGACUAGAGUGCGGUAGGGGAGAUUGGAAUUCCUGGUGUAGCGGUGGAAUGCGCAGAUAUCAGGAGGAACACCGAUGGCGAAGGCAGGUCUCUGGGCCACUACUGACGCUGAGAAGCGAAAGCAUGGGGAGCGAAACAGG
rnacentral:rRNA from 1 species